GGCUGGACCGAGUGCAGUGGUGUUUACAACUGAUUGGUCACAGCUAGUUACAGAUUCCUUUGUUCCUUCUCCACUUCCACUGCUUCACUUGACUAGUAAAA
rnacentral:Y_RNA from 1 species